CGCCCCAGCAAGGCCAGAGAGACACCUUGUUGUUGGUAUUGUACUUAUAUCAGUCAUGGGCAAAGCAGAUGGAAGUUCUUUGUCCAUCCUAGCUUGGUGUCUGGCUUGGUGGCCAAAGCUAUUUUACACCUGGGACACAUAA